CUGUGUGCUGAGACUGCUGCAGGAAGAUGCACAAACCACGUGCAGCUUCUGUCUAAGCUUUCCUUGUCUGAGAUUGUAGGCACAGGCUCUGUAAAGAGGACUGAGAACAGCUCUACAGUCACCUUCAUCACACACACUGAUUCCAGUGCUCGUAAGAGGGACAAAAUUAUUUUGAGGCCUCCACAAACUUCUUUGAAUAGAACAAUCUGUAUCAAUAAAGAGAUUGUUAUGCAGAGAUUUGUGAAUUAAACCAUUUAUAUAAACAAAAGAGAAUCUGGCUCUUGGGAAGUCAUCUGGUUUAUUGCUUCUGCCUCAGAAUAAGGGUGCAAGAUGACAUUUCAAGAAUCUUGCAGAUGCCAGUGAUGGUGCUUGCCUCAUACCACGGGACCAUAAAUACUGAAACUUGUCAAACAACAAAAAUUUCUUCCAGAGGACCACUGAAGAAGUGGUGGCUAAUAUGCAAACCAA